GACGAACGCUGGCGGCGUGCUUAACACAUGCAAGUCGAACGGAAAGGCCCCUUUGGGGGUACUCGAGUGGCGAACGGGUGAGUAACACGUGAGUAACCUUCCCUUGACUUCGGGAUAACUUCAGGAAACUGGGGCUAAUACCGGAUAGGAAUCCUUGCUGCAUGGUGGGGGUUGGAAAGCUUCGGCGGUUUUGGAUGGACUCGCGGCUUAUCAGCUUGUUGGUGGGGUAGUGGCUUACCAAGGCUUUGACGGGUAGCCGGCCUGAGAGGGCGACCGGCCACAGUGGGACUGAGAGACGGCCCAGACUCCUACGGGAGGCAGCAGUGGGGAAUAUUGCACAAUGGGCGGAAGCCUGAUGCAGCAACGCCGCGUGCGGGAUGACGGCCUUCGGGUUGUAAACCGCUUUCAGCAGGGGCGAAGCUUGUGGUGACGGUACCUGCAGAAGAAGCACCGGCUAACUACGUG
rnacentral:rRNA from 1 species